ensembl:lncRNA
CCUUGUUCUAGAAACUGCAGCUGGGCCAGCCCAUGGUGAGUCCCUGGGGAGUCAGUCCAAUGUCUCAACAGUCACAAGAAUGCUUGCCUGCAGACAGGGCAACCACAGGCUCCAGACCAUCACGCCAAGCCCCGGUCUGUCUACCUUUUUCUAAAGAAGAGAGCAAGGCUGGGAACAGCCCCAACAAUGCUUCCAACAUUCCUAAUUUUAUCUCUGGUUUUGAAAGGACGUCUUGUUUGACUUAAGAGCAGGAGUAAGAGGUAAUGGAUCAUAGCAAUGACCCGCAAUUUACAGGUGAGGAGCUUCCUUGUCCAGCUGGUCAUCCAAGCCCUGAUGGAGCACAGGCUCUGGUUCCAAGCAGCGUGGGUUCAAAAGUCAGCUCGAACACUCAUUGGUUGUGCAACCUUGAAUAUGGAUCUUAACCUCUCUGUGCCUCAGUUUCAUCACUUGGAAAAUGGACACAAGGACAGUGUGGCAAGCAAAAUAAUGAUCCCCAUGGGGCACCUGGGUAGCGCAGUCGUUAAAGCGUCUGCCUUCCGCUCAGGGCGUGAUCCUGGCGAUCUGGGAUCGAGUCCCACAUCAGGCUCUUCCGCUAUGAGCCUGCUUCUUCCUCUCCCACUCCCCCUGCUGUGUUCCCUCUCUCGCUGGCUGUCUCUCUGGCACAUAAAUAAAUAAAAUCUUUAAAAAAAAAAAAAAAAGAAUAAUGAUCCCCAAGGAUGUCCACACCAUAACCGCCAGAACCUGUGAAGGUGCUCCCUCACCUGGAAAAUGGACUUUGUGUGAUUACGGCUACAGACCUCUUGGUGAAAGAUUAAAUUAUCUGGAUGGACCCUAUCUAAUCAUUUCCAUCACUAAAAAAUGAAAGAACCUUUCCCAGAGGUGGUCAAAGAGAAAGACGUUAUGAUAGAAGAAAGGCUUGCUGGGAAGUUGAGGAAAAGGCCCAAAGACUGAAAAUCGGCUUCCUCUGACUAGAAGAGAUAGGUGACUAGGUAUCCCCACAAAGUGCUGAGGAAGAACGUCACAAACCUCAGAAUUUUCCAGUAGCCACAUUUUUUUAAAAGUAAGAAGAAAAAGACAAACAGAGCUUUAACAAUAUAUUUAACCCAAUGCAUACAAAAUUUUGUCAGUUUAGUACAUGAUCAGUAUAAAAAUUGCUACUGAGAUAUUUUACCUUUUUUUGUACUAAGUCUUUGAAAUUAAUGAGUAUUUUACACUUACCACUGACUUUGAUUUGGACAACCCACAUGUCACGUGCUCCGUAGCCACAUGAGACCGGCGGCUACUGUAGUGAACAGUGAAGCCUACAGAGCGUACGACAGAGCCUCUGGACGGAAGGACAGCAGGCAGAGCUGCAAGUUAAGACACUUUCCUGUAAAAUGGGGGUUAAGUAGAAGCUUGAAUCCUGAAAGCUGAAACUUGCUUCUCUAUCACACUAUUCCCCACAGCCUCCUUCCUCCCACUUGGCUUUCAAAACUCAGACAGCGAAGUUUACAGCAGGAAGGCAGUUUCCAAACAAGGGCACACAGCCAAGAAUCACCAGACAUUUGAGGAAAGUGUUUAGUGUGAAAUAUAGAGAACAAACAAUGUUGGGAGAUAAUUCUUUAUGAGUCUCUCACAUUUCUGGAUAUUUCUCAAGUCCAGGCCCUGUGCUUUUGCUCCAGGCUAUCUUUUCAAAGAUGUAUAAAUGGCAAAAUGCCUUGAAAGAUAGAGAUAAUGUUUCCCUCCCAGCAGAGGGCACGUUUGUUUUCUGUCCAGUACACUCCCAAGCAAAAGUCAGAAAGACUGCCUAUGUGUUAUAAGAGAUUAGGGCUCCCUAAGCUCGGGGUUACUCUCCCAUAACCCAUUGUGUAUGCAAGCAUCACCCGGCCUUCUUUGUGUUGCCCUGUGGGAAAUUAUGCUCUGGAAACUGUGCAAAUGCUGAUACACAGCUAUGAUUAUUUCAGUGGAAGUUAAAGGACAACAGAGAAUUGCCUUUAAAAUUGGGAGAGAUCACUAUUCAGCCAAACACUCAGCUUAGUGUGAAAGUAGAAUAAAAAUAUUAUCAAAUAUCCA